rnacentral:rRNA from 1 species
UACGUAGGGUGCGAGCGUUAAUCGGAAUUACUGGGCGUAAAGCGUGCGCAGGCGGUUUUGUAAGCCAGAUGUGAAAUCCCCGGGCUUAACCUGGGAAUGGCAUUUGGGACUGCAAGGCUGGAGUGUGGCAGAGGAGACUGGAAUUCCUGGUGUAGCAGUGAAAUGCGUUGAUAUCAGGAGGAAUACCGAUGGCGAAGGCAGGUCUCUGGGCUGACACUGACGCUCAUGCACGAAAGCUAGGGGAGCAAACGGG